CGCGCUCAGAGUGGCAGUGCGUCGCGCGCGAGUAUGCGUGGUCACAUGAGCGCCGGUCACGUGAUGUUUGUGGAAACAGUUUCACAUCGAACAGAUUCAUCAGCCGCUAAUAAAGCGAGGGCUCGUGCACAGAACAGAACCUGAACGCGUUUGUGUGUCUGGAGGAAGAGGAAGAGGAGAGAGGAGGAUGGACAGACAGGAGGAGGAAAGAGGAGACAGUGUGUGUGGAUGAACAGACGGUGGAGCGUCUAACAGAAGGGUUUCUCUCUCACUAUCUGCCGGAGCUGUGCUCCUCUAAACGAGCGCUGCAGGAGCUGACACAGAACCAGGUGAUUCUGCUGGGAUACGCUGGAUCAGGAAGUGGCCAAGCUCCGCGAGUGCAACGCCACGAUCGAUCUGAACGCGCUG